UGACAGGAUGCUCUCUCCUCCCUUGAGACCGCCCCCGCUACGCCUGCGGGAGGAACGCCCCACCUCUCUCCUCCCAGCCAGCUCAGAUCCCCCUCCCCCUCCCCCUCCCCCUGCCUCUCCUCCACCCUCUCCCCACCUACUGCCCCCUUCCCAACCAGCCUUUCCCCAAGGCCCGACAGCGAAACCUUCACCAGCACAGUGGCCCUGGGGUGCCCACCAGCCUCCCCUGUCGCUAACCUCCAGAGCCCCUGUGCACCCCGACCCACUGCGGGGGCAGCGUAACGGCGGCGAGGCUUUUCUCCGGUCUUCUAUAACUAAGGUGGGGGAAGGAGAGGGAGACAGCAGCUUUCCCUGGCCUAGCCCUUUAAAAGAAAAAAGAGACAAACAGCCACACCGCCCCCGCAGCGCCUCUCACUGGACGACUUUUCUACCCUUCUACCCGGACCCUUCCAAAGCCCACCUCUGGCUGGGACCCGCCUUCCCUCCCCAGCCCCUCACCUGCUCCUGCUCCCAGCUCCGCCGCUGCUACCACCGCCUCCGCCCCCGCAAGUUCCACUUGCCUCUCACUCCGCUCUCUCUGGCUCUCCAAGCCUACUUCACCGCGGCUGCUCCCCUGGCCCGCUCCCCGGCUCCCUCCUUCCUUCCCUCCACCUAGCACCGGAAGCCGCAACGGCGACAGGAGCUGUGCGGCGCACCCCCACCCCCAGCCCGGGAUACUUCCCACCUCCACGAUCGCGCGAGAGUUGCGCUGUAGCAAGCAGCAGUUAUCGCGAGACCCAUCACCAUGGCAGCGGCUGCAGCAGAAGCCGCUGAGCGCUGGAGUCCAAGUCUGGUGGGGGCCGGUGAGGUGUGGGGGCUGAGGGCUGCGGGCGGCAGAAGUAGGAGCUGGGAGCCGAGGAAUAAGGAUGGAACCGUAGAGACUGAGUCUAGGUGCAUCAGCCACAGAGCUACACCAUUGUUGCUACUCACUAUUACUGAAACUAAGUGACAACAAAGCCUGAAUUAAGAGAUCCUUUUCCAUAAGGAAGAGGAGGGGGAGUGAUGAAUUUAAAAGACUAAAGGAAAAAGCUGAACUUGAAAGACCAUGAGUUGAAGAGGGUUGAAGGCUAAAGUUCAGAGGUGUGGUCUAAGAAAGUGUAUCUAGAUGAAUAUGGAUUUUAGUGUCCUAAGGAAAAGUGAAGGGCUUUGCACCUGUGUGUCUCACUUCCUACCUACCAAUCUCUGAUUCCACCACACUCGAUUUUUUGCACCUGAUGGACAUAUGCAAAGCUGCCUUGGAACAGUCACAGCUGUGAUAAAAGCUGCACUAGAAGGACACUAGAAAUACUAAGAACAGAAGGUUCUUUAAGUGCCCUCCCUCCUCAUUUCAGCAGUACAAGAGAACACGUGGCUCUUAAACGCCUGAGCCAAAAUUGCCACUCUUCUGAAUUUCCUGCCUUUUUUCUUGUUUCCUUCCAAGGAGAGCUAGGUUGGUAGAUACCACACUGUGUGUACUCCAUGUCCACAUCAAGCCCUGGUUUGUGUCCUUACCAGACCCUUCCUCUUAUCCCAGUCUGUUUUCUCACGUUUAUUUGAAGAAUAACAUGUCUUAGAAUAUAAAGUCAAGAAGACCCUAAUUGAAGAUGGUGAAGGAUGAGAUGGAUUAAAAAAAAAAAAAGGAACCUAUGUAUAACAAAAAGAAUUAAUCCUUUCCUAGCUUCUUGUUAUUCCCUUUGCCUUGCUAAGCUCUGUUUUUAAAGGCAAAAGACUCUUCCAGCAUUAUUCCAUGUUAAUAACACACUGCUAGAGUGGGCCCUGUGAUACCUUCAUGUGAUUGCCCUCCCCACUCCUUUCCCUAGAAAUUUCUAGCAACACUCCACGAGAUUAUACCCCCACAAGACCACCAAAAAUAUGCUUUACAACUCCUUCCCUAGUACUUCAGCCACACCAACAUGCCUUGUGGGAGUCCAUUAUAGAGAUGGAAACUGCUGAUGGAUGUUCCUGCCUAUGACUAAAGAGCCUCUCCAGGUUGUAUCCCAAGUGUGACAGAAAGAUGGGAAUGGUGACAGCCUAAUAUGAUUAGGAGCAAACACCCCGAACUGAUGAAUUUGACUGGAAAAUCUCCCAGUUCUUCUCUCCUUCACCCCUCAGGAGUCUGGGGAAGAAAGUGUCUAUGUAGCUUCAAAGAGGGCUGCGCAUAGAACUAGCAGGAGGAGAGAAAGGAGAAGUGCUGCCUACUACCAUGCCCCAACUUCACAGCCACUUGGUAAAGGGUAGAGGAGGAGCUCUUCCAGAGCUGAAGGAGGCCCAGAUGCCUGACUUAGAGUCUUUUUCUUGUCUCUCUGGCAACUAGAGUCUAGUAAAAAGUGAAAGUGUAGCCACCAGCUUCCAUUCUAUCCCUGACCCCAGGCCUGGGCCUGAGCCCAGGCGUGUGCCAGGAGGAGGGGUGUUGGCCUUACUGACAAAAUCCACUUGGAAUUUGUCAAGGUUGUGGUUUGGGGCUUAAGUUUGGCACAGAGGGUGUCUGAUGAAAGAACAGGGAAAGCUAGAAAAGAAAGGGAGCCAAAGGACUACAGAGGACAGAAACAGGACAAAGCUGAACUGUUCUUGCUACAACUUCAUUGGAGAGUCUCCUUCCCCUUCCUGAAUGUGAAAAAUUUGUACUCGGGGUGUUCUUUCUCAUUAUUCUCUUUCAUAUCUUUUGGCAAUUCUAGCUGCAUCUCUUCUCCUUUGCCCCUCUCCCAUAUGCAUAUAAGGUUCAGUAAGGGUCUGAAUUAAGAAUGGGAUAUCUCCUGACACUACCACAUUUUCAAACCCAGAAUUCUCAGUGAUCAAGUGGAGAUUUGUGAUGUAAAAUGUUGCUGUAAAAUACUGCCCUAACCCAAGACAAAUAUCCUUGCUACCUUGUUGCUACUCUCAUUUCAUCUAAUUUGAGGAUAAUUUUGGUAGCAGAUAAAUCUGUUGUCCAGAGAAGUAGCACUAUUUCUACAUCCAUGGCUAAGGUCAUGACCUGUUAAGUCAGAUCUUGAAGUCUCCCAUGUACACAAUCAUCUGUAAAGUUUUAAAUUGUCAUGUAUACACGUGUGCAUACAUAUAUAUCCCAUAUAGAUAUAUCCCUUUUAUCAUUGAAUCUUGGAAAGAUAAGUUUAUUUUCAAAGAUACUGAGUUAAGGCCAGGGAUUUAGCUCAGUGGUUCCAGUGCCUGCCUCACAAGCACAAGGUCCCAAGUUCAAUCCCCAGUACCAAAAAAAAAAGAUACUGAGUUAGGAAUAGAGACAAGAAAUUCUGUUUUCUCAGGUUAUCUUUUAAAAGAUAAAGAAAUUUGUGUACUAAAAUUAGUAAAGUUAUUUUACUAAGGUAAGGAAGGACAAAAUACGG
rnacentral:lncRNA from 1 species